AAACCAACAAUAGGAGUUCCUUUCUCGAUAUCAUAAAGAUGAUCCAAGUAAGUUCCUUUCGAAUGAGCAAGCACAAGGCAAAAGCAAAUAAUACAAGUCUCAAAAGAGAUACUCAAAUGAAAAGGAGACAAGCUGCCAAUAUAUGGACUUACACCUAACUCCUGAAAGCAAAACGGAAACAGAAUGCCAAUAGAUGGACUUAGAUCCGACUCCAAACAACAAAACGGAAACAGAAUGCC
rnacentral:lncRNA from 1 species